rnacentral:rRNA from 1 species
AUUGAACGCUGGCGGCAUGCCUUACACAUGCAAGUCGAACGGUAACAGGUCUUCGGAUGCUGACGAGUGGCGAACGGGUGAGUAAUACAUCGGAACGUGCCCAGACGUGGGGGAUAACGAGGCGAAAGCUUUGCUAAUACCGCAUACGAUCUAAGGAUGAAAGCAGGGGACCGCAAGGCCUUGCGCGUUUGGAGCGGCCGAUGGCAGAUUAGGUAGUUGGUGGGAUAAAAGCUUACCAAGCCGACGAUCUGUAGCUGGUCUGAGAGGACGACCAGCCACAAUGGGACCUGGGAAAGGCCCCGGCUCCCAAGGGAGGGCGGCAUGGGGAAAUUUGGACAAUGGGCGAAAGCCUGAUCCAGCAAUGCCGCGUGCAGGAUGAAGGCCUUCGGGUUGUAAACUGCUUUUGUACGGAACGAAAAGGCUCUGGCUAAUACCUGGGGCACAUGACGGUACCGUAAGAAUAAGCACCGGCUAACUACGUG